rnacentral:rRNA from 1 species
UACGAAGGUCCCAAGCGUUAUCCGGAUUUAUUGGGUUUAAAGGGUGCGUAGGCGGCUUAUUAAGUCAGUGGUGAAAGCCCCGAGCUUAACUUGGGAACUGCCAUUGAUACUGAUGAGCUUGAGUAGAUUUGAGGCGGGCGGAAUGUGUCGUGUAGCGGUGAAAUGCUUAGAUAUGACACAGAACACCAAUUGCGUAGGCAGCUCGCUAAACUCUUACUGACGCUGAGGCACGAAAGCAUGGGGAUCAAACAGG